UACGAAGGGGGCUAGCGUUGCUCGGAAUCACUGGGCGUAAAGCGCACGUAGGCGGCUUUUUAAGUCAGAGGUGAAAUCCUGGAGCUCAACUCCAGAACUGCCUUUGAUACUGGAGAGCUUGAGUCCGGGAGAGGUGAGUGGAACUGCGAGUGUAGAGGUGAAAUUCGUAGAUAUUCGCAAGAACACCAGUGGCGAAGGCGGCUCACUGGCCCGGUACUGACGCUGAGGUGCGAAAGCGUGGGGAGCAAACGGG
rnacentral:rRNA from 1 species